rnacentral:ncRNA from 1 species
UAGCAGCCCGUUUCUCUCUUUCUUUUGACUGUCUCGUGGAUGGACGAAAGAAGAGAAGUUACAGAAGGGGCAGUGAAGGCUCGCCAAGUGGACAGCAAUCCCCCACCCCCGCAGUCCUGUGUUGCAGUAGCGUGCCCUACUUUAAUAAGGGAUCAGUAGCUGGUCCGAGAGGAUGAUCAGCCACACUCGGACUGAGACACGGCCCAGACUCCUACAGGAGGUAGCAGUGAGGAAUUUUCCUCAAUGGGUGAAAGCCUGACAGAGCAAUGCCGCGUGGAGGUGGAAGGCCUACGGGUCGUCAACUUCUUUUCUCGGAGAAGAAACAAUGACGGUAUCUGAGGAAUAAGCAUCGGUUAACUCUGUGCCAGCAGCCACAGUAAGACAUAGGAUGGAA